rnacentral:lncRNA from 1 species
UCAACAACUUCAAAAGAGGCAGGAGCAGCCAUCAAAAAAAGCUUCUCCUCCAAAUGCUUUAUCUUAAUAUAGCUCUCAACCAGCCCAUCAAGACAAACACCAUAUUGAUGAGGCUGACAGUGAAUUUGCCUCCAACACUUUGAAAGUUUAAAAAGGGGAUGACCUAGACCACAAGGUCCUGAAUCUUGAAAAGCAUAUAAUAGAGC